rnacentral:rRNA from 1 species
UACGAAGGGGGCUAGCGUUGUUCGGAAUCACUGGGCGUAAAGGGCGCGUAGGCGGCUUUUCAAGUCGGGGGUGAAAGCCUGUGGCUCAACCACAGAAUUGCCUUCGAUACUGUUAGGCUUGAGACCGGAAGAGGUGAGUGGAACUGCGAGUGUAGAGGUGAAAUUCGUAGAUAUUCGCAAGAACACCAGUGGCGAAGGCGGCUCACUGGUCCGGUUCUGACGCUGAGGCACGAAAGCUAGGGGAGCAAACAGG